GAGGCUCCUGUUUAGACAGAGAGAAAAUGAAGUUGGUGUUAUAAAGACAGGAGUAGCUCUGAUAAGUUGUAUCUCACUAAAUAUUAAGUAGAAAACAUCAAUUGUUCAUACACAACUCUGAAUGUUCAUAAUUAGACUACAUGACUCCUUUAGUCUUAUAAAGCACAAAGCUACCGUUAGGCCUUAAUCUUGCAUACUCUUACUUGGCUGCUUAGUGCCAUUAAUACAGCCAAUUGUACUGUAACAUGGACUAUUUGUGAUUAUAACAUAAAACUGGUAAAGCAGCAUUUUCAGGGCCAUAAGACCCCCACGUAAUGUGUUUUUUAAAAAGGAUAAAAAUACAAUGCAUGCACAGUUUUGUGUUCCAUCCCCUUGUUUUCUGAUCUUUAAUUUUUAAAUUGUGGGUAAGUUUAUGGUAAAUGUUACCUGAUCACCCCUUUUUGGGGACUAAACUAGUAGAGCUAAAGAGCUUUAUUUGUGCAUCACAAAUACUAAGUAAUGUAUUGAAGCUGUGUAUAAAAUGUGAUUGACUAAAAAUUGAUUCUGAAAAUGGCUUUUCAAAAUGUUAUUAGUGGACUCUUGAUGCAAUUGCAUCGUUUUCACUCAGUUUCACGGAGCUCGAAGUACAUCUCGGCUAACGACUCCAUUAAUUACGUGCAAAUGAAAAGAAUCCUUUAACUUAGAGUUGUUAGUAGUUGGGGGAAAAGAAACGAAAAUGUGUCUUUUCUGCAGGUGAGUAAGCAGGUGUAACACCACGCAGAUGUGCAUGUGAGGAUUACAUUUUUGACACAUUUUCAUGAGUAGAACGUUGUUUUAAGAUAUGACUACUAAGAUAUAACUACUAGGGAAGAUUCAUAUUCAGUGUAGUCCCAGAGAACCAUCAGUCCGGAUGCAAGUCCUUCAAAGGACUUAAAAGAUUAUUUUCACCCUCAGUGAAUUAACAGAACUGUUUCUGUCCAGGAUCCCUUUACACAAGAGAUUAUCUCUAAGUUAGAACCAAGAUCUUGCCACUCACAGGACAAUGAGGUUAGCUGCCCUUGAAUGUUCCUGUAAGAGUUCAUUCAGACGAACUUGGCGGUAACUCUGGUUAAAACAAAACAGGGAAAUAAAAAAAUCAGUUAGGUAAGUGAUCCUCAAUUCUGGUGCCUUAGGGAAUACCACGCUACCCACUAGAUUUUCUACUGUUGCUUUGGCAACACUGAAAGCCCGGUGUGCUCUGUGGCACACUGAUGGAGAUGGCAAAAUAUGAGGCAAAGCCUUGAUUCAUAUGGUUACCUGGGGGGUAACCUCUUAAACAGAACACCAUGAGUCUGGAGUAAGACCUGGCUGCUUUAUGUAUUGUGUAUACGUAUGGACUUCUGCAAAUUGCAUAACUGGCCGCUCCUUUGAGAUUCAGCCAAGGUUACUUUGUGGUCAGACUCGGUCUCUCAAAGUUUUUAUAGCUUAACACAAGUCAUAGGGAACAAGAGACCAGGGCAGGUUUGUGUACAGGGAGAUUGCAGAAUGGGAGAUAUCUUAACUGGGCUUAUAAAUUAUUCUCUCUUUCCCUGGAGAAUGUAAAAAAACUAGUUUUUCUCCAUUCAGACCUUAAAUUUUCCUUCUCUACAGAAAUUCUGCUGUUCUUUUACAUGCUAGAUAAGUAAGAAUCCUCAUAAUUUAGCCAGUUGUUAUCUCAUGAGAGUCAUCCUAUAACAUCACCCUAUGCUGCCAGGUUUUUUCUCUCUUGAAUUAUAAAUAUGUUCUAAUGUCCUCCAUAAAAUUCUCAGAAGAUAAAGGACUUGUCUUUCCAGCUGUGUAAGCUAAACUUUUUGUUGCUGUUCUUAUUUUAUAGACAGAUUUGGCAUUUUCAUAUUGCUGACUGCUUUCAACCUAUGGGAUUUUUUCCUGGGCAAGGUCAAGCUUAAGCAUGUAUUUUUUUCCUGUUGUAUCCUCACUGUUUCUGCAUGCAUGCAUGUAUAUCUGGGAUUGUAUUCCUUUUAUCUUUUAUACAGAGAUAUUCUGAGGGCCCUGCUCCCAAGUUUUGAUGAUUUAUGCUGGGAGUGCAUCAAAAGUUUUCUGCCCACAGCUGACUACCAUAACUGGUUAUCAAGUCUAUCAAAAGGGUAAUACAGUGAGCAGUCAGUCUGCUUCCCAGCUGCUGCGGUCGGUAGUAUAGUGUGUUAUCUUAAAUCACCAUUGAUUUCAGCUUAUGUUAAUGUGUCAGCCUGUGACCUCUGGCAGCUCUGAGCUCAGGCUCACAAUCCUUGCUCCGCUGAGGAAGUUACUAGCACCAUAAGGUGGAGAUAACUAAACUCUCAGUGCACUCAGGUUAAUCCAACAGGAACCAUAAAUAAAAUUACUGGAUUAAUUCUCUGUGAGUUACAGGAGGACUUGUCUCCUGAGGGUGGAAGAGUUUGUAGUGUCCUUUUGACACUGGCCUGAUGAAGCCUGGCCAUUUAGUGCCCAAAAGGUAUGUUCCAGCAAAAUUAAAGAGCAGCCCAGGCUCUAAUUCUCCCAGUGGAUCAGCCAACAUCAGCAUCAGAGUGCCCCUCAGCUGCGGGAAAGCUCCUGCAGCGUGGGCAGAUGAGUCUUCACGCUGCCAUUGAGGUAAGAAUCCGUGUUAAAUUUUGCCUUUGGAAAAAUUCCUAGGUAGAGUCUGGAUUCAGUUCUGAAUUUCCCAAAGUGGUGAAUAUUCGGAACUGUGCUCUUUUUAAGAGGUUGAAGCCCUAAAACAGUGGAGCUAUUUAAUGAACCGCUCAGCUCAGGCUCAGCACAGUGGGUUCAGGGGUGGUUUUCAUCCGUCUGGCUGUGAUGUGGGCAGAGCUUCUCAUCAGCUUGCUAAAUACUGUGUACAUGUGCCAAGGUCUUAGGGAAUACUGAAUAAUGCGAUCCUAACACACCUCCGCAGUAUUUACAAUAUAAAUCCAAUUUGUAAAUAUCAAAUACAGGUUCGGGUUUGUAUGUGUCAUGUUGCUAAUUCCAUAUCUGGUGUUUCACAUUUUCAUGCUAAUCGCUUCAAAAAUGUGGAGUGUAAGAAAAGCUUCUGUCAUAAAAAGCUUUCGUGGAGGCGAUAUGGUUCAAUCAUCUCUUCAAAGAAUUUCCAGCUGAAACAGGAAUUACAAAGGAGGCCUUGCUGCAGGAUGUCCUCUCUCAAUUUCAGCUUGUUUCUUGAAGCUUUUGACUGUCGUCAUCUGGAGAAACUUAUCCUUCUGUACUUCCCUGCUUGCCCCUUUAUUGAAAGUUUCUGUCAUCCCACAGAGACCUCAGGGAGUUUCUUUUAUAGGAAUGUGUGUCUCUGUGAGCACUUUCUGCUGCCAGGCCUCCCUGUGAAGAGAAAUAGGAGGUUGGCCUUUGCUUAUAUGGCCAGGAAGUCGAGAGAUGGGUUAAAGGCCAUGACAUGCAGCAUUUAAUGUUGCUAAGUUGCCAAAGAGUUUGUCAACAUGCUUAGUGUCUGUUUCAAUAUAUAAAAUAGCGAUAAUCCUCUUAUUAUUAGUGAAAUAAAUGGGAUGCCAGCUGGGAGAGAGAUGGAGUGGUCUAGCAGGUGUCUGGCACAACAUUCACUUGUUCUGUUCACAGGGUUCUGAUGCAGGAACUGUAUUUGGUUUUUAUGUUAGUGCCAGAUAUUACUUCUUUCUAUUAGCUUUUAUUUAUGUAAAAAAUCAAUGCAUAGUACUGGAAAAAAAGAGAAGUAUUCUGCACAGUUCUUUAUAUAAUUACAAACUAUUUACUGAGAGAUCAAGAGGGCACUAGUAAGUGACUUUAGCUAUCUAAUAAUAAAAUCUUGGUAUUCCUUAACUGUAUUUCCCAAGUCAAGCUCUCCCACGCACGGCAGAAACUCUGGUGAGUCUAAUAUUGCUUUUGCAAAGUUCUGUGUGUGUGGAGAAAUGGGACGCAGAAGGAUGAAGAGACUAACCUGAGAUUGCACUUGCACUCGGAGGGAAGUCUUUGGGUGGACAAGAGCCCUUUGCCUAUGAAAUAGCUACGGACCUGUCGAGAGGGGAGUACGGCUGGGGUGGAAGAGGGCAGAGCAGGGUGAGAGCAUUUUUAGAGGAUCUUUAAGACCAAGAGCAAUGUUGUGAAUUGAGUUAGGAUUCAGUUAUUCCAUUAAUUCUGUAGAUAAGGUAAUUUUUAACAGCAUUGUACCUUCAUUAUGUUUGAGUGAUAGGGGAGUAUUAUAACCUUGUCCUCACAGGAAAGGAGAAGUAUGCUUACGUUUGGGCACAGAAAUGUUAAGUUUAUGAAUUCAUGGUAGAAUGCAGAAGGCUGACUUGGCAGAGAUGGUGAGUUUAUGAGAGAACUGUGACUGACUGAAUAAUACGAUGAAGUGAAGUCUAUGCCAACCUAAAUAGAUAUGAAAAGCCACCAUAAAAUGUCUGUUAAAUUUAGUGGCUCAUAAGUAUGGUGUCUAAUUAGUCCUUAUUAAAAUUGAGUCUUAUCAUUACAACAUAAAGAAAAAGGCUGCUUUAGUUUUGACCCUCUGAGUGUGACUGUUAAAACAUUCUUUUCUUUUUUCUUGCUCUACUUACAUGGAAAAUGAUUGCAAUAAAGCGACAGCGUUAUCCUUUGUGGUGUGUGUGUUGGGUUUUUUAAUGCUCCACAUAAAAGAAAGAAGCUCCUGAUAAAGGCCUGCAGCUAAAUAAUGGAUUUUGGACGAGCAGCGUAUACAGUGCCAGAACUGCCUCUGCACAGAGCUGUCGUGGUUUGACAAACUCCAUUUGAUGGCAAAACCUCCUAAUCCUCACAAUGAAACUGGGUGACUGGAGUGUCUGGAUCCAGGAGUGGCUGGGGUCCUGAAGAGCCAAGUUUGGACAGACUCUGGACAGGGAGCAGAGAACACGUCCCUGCGGGUCCUUGAGCAGCUGUGAGGCGUUUUUUAAACUCGAUAAUAAUAGUUUGUACAAACACUUGUGAAUCUCUUCUAUGGAAGUAUGUUAACUUUAGGGUAAUCCUUACAACUGACAACCACAGUGGAGUAAAGUUUGCUUUAUGCGAAAGCAGAAGCUAAAGAGACCAUCGGUGUGGCAGCUGUCUUUCAGAUGCGCUCUGUCGUGAUGCUAGUGAUGCUGGCUGAAUUUUAACUCCUGUCCUUGCAUCAAUCUCACUUGUUUUCCACUGGAGUUUGGGUUGGCUAUGUUGUUUCUAACUCACUACAUGGUGCUGCUGCUCUAAGUUAAGCUGUUACUGCUUCCCCUGCUGGUAACACGGCUGUGCCUCUAGUGUGUAAAGUGCUUUGGAAGGAAAGGUCCUAUAUACAGUGAUGAUGCAAAUAAGUUUCUAUGAGUACCUCUCAUUUGCUUGAAGGCCAGUGAUGAUUAUGAAAGCUAGUCUUUUUAAAAAAAGCUAAGUCAAAUCAAUUUGGUACUGAAGUUGAUGAACUUACUCUUUAACUUCUUUACAUUUUACCACAGUUAAUCACAUCUGUCUUUGGUAUUUGCAUAUGAGAAGCUUCAUAUGCAAUUUCACCGGACUAUCUCAUGUAAAUCCUAUAAAGCUAAUUAUAUUCUCAUUACAGAGUGCAAACUACUCUUCUUAGAGAAGGGAAUAUGAGCUAUUAAUGGGAAAAAUUGCCUGAUGUGACUUUCUUUUGGUAAUCACCAUUUACACUGAGCCUUGAGACCUAUGCCAUAAGCUCAAGACCUUCCUAUCAAGUACAUGAUUUUUUUCAUGCUGCCCACAGUAAACCAAACCAGUUGUACUGAGAAAUUCCAGCUUCCUGCUGGGUAUCCAUUGUAUUCCGCAUCAAUUCAAACUCUUUAAACAGUGAGACAAAUAUACUUACACUAGUUUUUCUUCUUCAAUCCUGUUGACCUUUCCUCCAGUGAAGAUCCUUAAUUUGCAAUUUUUCCACUUCUUCCUCAUAGUUAGAAUGUAAGGAAUUAGGAUUGUUAGACCUGGAAAAACAGGUAUAAAAUUGCGGGAAGAUCCGGUUAGUGCAUCGUGUGCUAAAAAUGCCAUCCUUCGCUUUGGCAGUGUUGCAUGUAAGUUAAUCUUAAACCAUUUAAGAAAUGACAGAAAGUUGACUAUGUAAUCUUUAAAAGAAAACAGUUUUGUGCAAGUUCCCAAGUCUGUUUUUUAUAUUUGGUAACAGAGGAGUCUGUCUCCCUGCGGUUCUGACUGGAAUUCCUUACCUCCAUCAUCGAACAGCCACCAAAUGUCAAUUGUACCUUUUCCUUGCUUCUUUUUAAAUUGAGUGCUGGCUUCUAGCAGCUUCUGAUUGAAUUCUCCCACAUGCAUUGACUGUAUUGUGUUAAUGGUGCUCUCUGUAAUGAGAGAGAAAAAACGUGGAAGGAUUUCUGACAAGUGAGGCAAUGAGUAGCUUUAGGGAGCCAAGCGGAGAGAAAGCUCCAGGAAAAUGAACUGUUUCUGACAUAAUUUUUAUACUUUAAAUCUGAAAAAAAUUACAGCACAGCUGCUGUGGACUUUUAAUAUACCAAUACACACAGGAACCAAAGCUUGUGUAAUACUUUGUCGCUAGAUUAUAACACCUUGAAAAGGGUUAUCAGAUUAUUUGUUCCCUGGAUCUUUUUAGUUAACCUAAAAUUCACUGGGGCCUCAAAAAGCAAUUGUGAAAUAUCUGACAGGUUUUAGAAGUAAAUGGCAUCAUUUUGCAUCAUUUACAAGCUCGCCUGUCUGCUGUAAAAUGCGGAGCUCCCUGAAAUGCACAGUAAUGGGGGACAAAGAGCUGCCAGGGUACAGCGGCAGCACAGGUGAGGCUAAGAAUGGAAGGCAGAAAACAUAAGCACACGUGGCAACUUCCCUGCGCUUGAGCAGGUGGUGGUUAAUUGAAAAUAAACUUGGAUUCUUGCUGUUUGCUUGGCUGGCUUUAAAAGGCACAGUCUUGCCUAGGUACGAACAACAUCUUCUCUCAUUCCAUCUUUUGAAGCCUGUGGCUUUAUUACUGCUUCUCUUUCAAUGAUUUCAAAGAGACUGUGUCAGAGCGGUAUUUUAAAUGGAGCGGACAGGCAUCUUUAAAGGUUUUACUCUGAUCUGCCGGGUUCUAAAAACGCUUUGUUUGGUUUUCUGUAUUUCUAUAUUGUGGACAGGAUAGUUCUAAAGCAGUUAUUGGCUUUCCUCUACGGUUCUAGCAUCUAUGCUGGAAGGUGCAACAGCUCGGGGAGGAUGAAUGUCUAAGCAAAACGGAGAGGCAGGGAUAUUUAUUAACAUCAUCUGUCUCAUAUAUAGAGCCAAAGUGGGUAAUAUGUAUUUCCUUUAUGCCUUUCUGAACUAAAUCGAAAAGGGUAGUUGAAACAGAGCUGCACAUUCGUGUGGUAUUUGUUAUAAAAAUAUGGUCUACUGAAGCCUGCAAAAUGAACUUGAGGUCUGCCAAGUAAAGAAUAACGACAUUUUAUGUUUUCAGUCUGUAGAUCUUCUUGAUACCCGUGGGAGUUGCACGCGCAGCCAGAUGUAAUAGUCUCGGCAGGUGAAAAUCCUGAAAAUACUUGUCUGCCUCCCAGUGUGGCUUCAGCUGGGUCAUUGUCAUUACAGCCUGGCAAUUGUGAAAUGACACCUCUAAUUCUGCUUGUAUUUCUGUAUCAUUUGACUAUAUCUUGAAAUGUAAUUUUGGUUUCAUCGCCUAUACAUUGAAGUUAUGUGUUUAUUAGUUAUCUGACAGCAUGAUGUAUAUGUACUUUGAGUAUUUUUACCACCUUCAUUUGUGCAUUUUUAUGAAAUUAUGCUUAGGGUACACAGCAGUAGUGUUACUUUUACCUGGUUUUCAGCUGUGUGCUGGGUUUGUGUGUGUAUGUUGAGUAAAGUGAGGUUGCUUGUUACCUGAA